rnacentral:rRNA from 1 species
GAUGAACGCUGGCGGCGUGCCUAAUACAUGCAAGUCGAGCGAACAGAUGAGGAGCUUGCUCCUCUGACGUUAGCGGCGGACGGGUGAGUAACACGUGGAUAACCUAUCUAUAAGACUGGGAUAACUUCGGGAAACCGGAGCUAAUACCGGAUAAUAUAUUGAACCGCAUGGUUCAAUAGUGAAAGACGGUUUUGCUGUCACUUAUAGAUGGAUCCGCGCCGCAUUAGCUAGUUGGUAAGGUAACGGCUUACCAAGGCAACGAUGCGUAGCCGACCUGAGAGGGUGAUCGGCCACACUGGAACUGAGACACGGUCCAGACUCCUACGGGAGGCAGCAGUAGGGAAUCUUCCGCAAUGGGCGAAAGCCUGACGGAGCAACGCCGCGUGAGUGAUGAAGGUCUUCGGAUCGUAAAACUCUGUUAUUAGGGAAGAACAAAUGUGUAAGUAACUAUGCAUGUCUUGACGGUACCUAAUCAGAAAGCCACGGCUAACUACGUG